UGAGGAAUAUUGGACAAUGGGCGCAAGCCUGAUCCAGCCAUGCCGCGUGCAGGAUGACGGUCCUAUGGAUUGUAAACUGCUUUUGUACAGGAAAAAACAGUUCUACGUGUAGAACCUUGACGGUACUGUAAGAAUAAGGAUCGGCUAACUCCGUGCCAGCAGCCGCGGUAAUACGGAGGAUCCAAGCGUUAUCCGGAAUCAUUGGGUUUAAAGGGUCCGUAGGCGGUUAGAUAAGUCAGUGGUGAAAGCCCAUCGCUCAACGGUGGAACGGCCAUUGAUACUGUCUGACUUGAAUUAUUAGGAAGUAACUAGAAUAUGUAGUGUAGCGGUGAAAUGCUUAGAGAUUACAUGGAAUACCAAUUGCGAAGGCAGGUUACUACUAAUGGAUUGACGCUGAUGGACGAAAGCGUGGGUAGCGAACAGGAUUAGAUACCCCAGUAGUCCCUGAGCGGGCUGGCAAGGCGCAU
rnacentral:rRNA from 1 species